UCAACCGAGAUUCCCCCAGUAGCGGCGAGCGAACGGGGAGGAGCCCAGAGCCUGAAUCAGUGUGUGUGUUAGUGGAAGCGUCUGGAAAGGCGCGCGAUACAGGGUGACAGCCCCGUACACAAAAAUGCACAUAUUGUGAGCUCGAUGAGUAGGGCGGGACACGUGGUAUCCUGUCUGAAUAUGGGGGGACCAUCCUCCAAGGCUAAAUACUCCUGACUGACCGAUAGUGAACCAGUACCGUGAGGGAAAGGCGAAAAGAACCCCGGCGAGGGGAGUGAAAAAGAACCUGAAACCGUGUACGUACAAGCAGUGGGAGCCUCUUUAUGGGGUGACUGCGUACCUUUUGUAUAAUGGGUCAGCGACUUAUAUUCUGUAGCAAGGUUAACCGAAUAGGGGAGCCGAAGGGAAACCGAGUCUUAACUGGGCGUUAAGUUGCAGGGUAUAGACCCGAAACCCGGUGAUCUAGCCAUGGGCAGGUUGAAGGUUGGGUAACACUAACUGGAGGACCGAACCGACUAAUGUUGAAAAAUUAGCGGAUGACUUGUGGCUGGGGGUGAAAGGCCAAUCAAACCGGGAGAUAGCUGGUUCUCCCCGAAAGCUAUUUAGGUAGCGCCUCGUGAAUUCAUCUCCGGGGGUAGAGCACUGUUUCGGCAAGGGGGUCAUCCCGACUUACCAACCCGAUGCAAACUGCGAAUACCGGAGAAUGUUAUCACGGGAGACACACGGCGGGUGCUAACGUCCGUCGUGAAGAGGGAAACAACCCAGACCGCCAGCUAAGGUCCCAAAGUCAUGGUUAAGUGGGAAACGAUGUGGGAAGGCCCAGACAGCCAGGAUGUUGGCUUAGAAGCAGCCAUCAUUUAAAGAAAGCGUAAUAGCUCACUGGUCGAGUCGGCCUGCGCGGAAGAUGUAACGGGGCUAAACCAUGCACCGAAGCUGCGGCAGCGACACUAUGUGUUGUUGGGUAGGGGAGCGUUCUGUAAGCCUGUGAAGGUGGCCUGUGAGGGUUGCUGGAGGUAUCAGAAGUGCGAAUGCUGACAUAAGUAACGAUAAAGCGGGUGAAAAGCCCGCUCGCCGGAAGACCAAGGGUUCCUGUCCAACGUUAAUCGGGGCAGGGUGAGUCGACCCCUAAGGCGAGGCCGAAAGGCGUAGUCGAUGGGAAACAGGUUAAUAUUCCUGUACUUGGUGUUACUGCGAAGGGGGGACGGAGAAGGCUAUGUUGGCCGGGCGACGGUUGUCCCGGUUUAAGCGUGUAGGCUGGUUUUCCAGGCAAAUCCGGAAAACCAAGGCUGAGGCGUGAUGACGAGGCACUACGGUGCUGAAGCGACAAAUGCCCUGCUUCCAGGAAAAGCCUCUAAGCAUCAGGUAACAUCAAAUCGUACCCCAAACCGACACAGGUGGUCAGGUAGAGAAUACCAAGGCGCUUGAGAGAACUCGGGUGAAGGAACUAGGCAAAAUGGUGCCGUAACUUCGGGAGAAGGCACGCUGAUAUGUAGGUGAAGCGACUUGCUCGUGGAGCUGAAAUCAGUCGAAGAUACCAGCUGGCUGCAACUGUUUAUUAAAAACACAGCACUGUGCAAACACGAAAGUGGACGUAUACGGUGUGACGCCUGCCCGGUGCCGGAAGGUUAAUUGAUGGGGUUAGCGGUAACGCGAAGCUCUUGAUCGAAGCCCCGGUAAACGGCGGCCGUAACUAUAACGGUCCUAAGGUAGCGAAAUUCCUUGUCGGGUAAGUUCCGACCUG
rnacentral:rRNA from 1 species